rnacentral:rRNA from 1 species
UCAGAUUGAACGCUGGCGGCAGGCCUAACACAUGCAAGUCGAGCGGUAACAUUUCUAAGCUUGCUUAGAAGAUGACGAGCGGCGGACGGGUGAGUAAUGCUUGGGGAUCUGCCUGAUGGCGGGGGACAACCACUGGAAACGGUGGCUAAUACCGCAUAAUACCUAUGGGUCAAAGUGUGGGACCUUCGGGCCACACGCCAUCAGAUGAACCCAAGUGAGAUUAGCUGGUUGGUAAGGUAACGGCUUACCAAGGCGACGAUCUCUAGCUGGUCUGAGAGGAUGAUCAGCCACACUGGGACUGAGACACGGCCCAGACUCCUACGGGAGGCAGCAGUGGGGAAUAUUGGACAAUGGGGGCAACCCUGAUCCAGCCAUGCCGCGUGUGUGAAGAAGGCCUUCGGGUUGUAAAGCACUUUCAGUGGUGAGGAAGGUGGUGUCGUUAAUAGCGGCAUCAAUUGACGUUAGCCACAGAAGAAGCACCGGCUAACUCCGUGCCAGCAGCCGCGGUAACACGGAGGGUGCGAGCGUUAAUCGGAAUUACUGGGCGUAAAGCGCACGUAGGCGGUAUGUUAAGCAAGAUGUGAAAGCCCAGAGCUCAACUCUGGAAUAGCAUUUUGAACUGGCAUGCUAGAGUUUUGGAGAGGGUGGUAGAAUUUCCAGUGUAGCGGUGAAAUGCG